GGUAAUUCCAGCUCCAAAAGCGUAUAUUAAAGUUGUUGCAGUUAAAAAGCUCGUAGUUGAACCUUGGGCUUGGUUGGCCGGUCCAUCUUUUUGAUGCGUACUGGACCCAACCGAGCCUUUCCUUCUGGCUAGCCUUUUGGCGAACCAGGACUUUUACUUUGAAAAAAUUAGAGUGUUCAAAGCAGGCCUUUGCUCGAAUAUAUUAGCAUGGAAUAAUAGAAUAGGACGUUAUGGUUCUAUUUUGUUGGUUUCUAGGACCAUCGUAAUGAUUAAUAGGGACGGUCGGGGGUAUCAGUAUUCAGUUGUCAGAGGUGAAAUUCUUGGAUUUACUGAAGACUAACUACUGCGAAAGCAUUUACCAAGGACGUUUUCAUUAAUCAAGAACGAAAGUUAGGGGAUCGAAGAUGAUCAGAUACCGUCGUAGUCUUAA
rnacentral:rRNA from 1 species